rnacentral:rRNA from 1 species
UACGGGGGGGGGUAAGCGUUGUUCGGAAUUACUGGGCGUAAAGGGCUCGUAGGCGGCCAACUAAGUCAGACGUGAAAUCCCUCAGCUUAACUGGGGAACUGCGUCUGAUACUGGAUGGCUUGGAUUCGGGAGAGGAAUGCGGAAUUCCAGGUGUAGCGGUGAAAUGCGUAGAUAUCUGGAGGAACACCGGUGGCGAAGGCGGGUCUCUGGGCAGUAACUGACGCUGAGGAGCGAAAGCGUGGGGAGCGAACAGG